rnacentral:rRNA from 1 species
UACGUAGGGUGCGAGCGUUAAUCGGAAUUACUGGGCGUAAAGGCGUGCGCAGGCGGUUAUUUAAGUCAGGUGUGAAAGCCCUGGGCUUAACCUAGGAAUUGCCGCUUGAGACUGGAUAGCUUGGAGUGCGGCAGAGGGAGGUGGAAUUCCACGUGUAGCAGUGAAAUGCGUAGAGAUGUGGAGGAACACCGAUGGCGAAGGCAGCCUCCUGGGCCAGCACUGACACUCAUGCACGAAAGCGUGGGGAGCAAACAGG